rnacentral:lncRNA from 1 species
UCCCAGAAGAAUGAGAGACAUCUCAGGCAAGCCCAAACAAAACUUGUAGUUUAGAACAAAGCUUGGUGAAACUCAGCCCAGUUGAGCUGAUACCAGCCUACCCAUAGUUGGAUGAGUGAGAAGUAAAGGCUCGUGUUAUUAUGUCUUGGUGAUAAUUGGCAUCUGGGGACUGCUGCGACUUUCGUGUGCUUUUCUCCCAAGCAAAUGGACUCGCCCCGUGGAGAGAAUAAAUUGGAUGCAUGACCAGACCUCCGAGAGGCUGCGUCUCCAGGCAGCUGGUGGGAAGCUGUCUGGAAACAAACACAUUUUCCAGCUUGCUCGACCCUCACAUUUCCAGAGCAGAAGCAUGAGAACUCCUCAAAGACAGAGAAAUGACUCUAAAAUGGAUCUGCUCCAGUCACUAGAACUCCUGCAUUCCCAGGACCAACACCUGCGUAUCCAGGACCAUGUUUCCCAGCCCAGAAAUGACUCCUGCACACCUAAAGAUACCCCACCUGCCCUCACCUCGCCUGUAAGCCUCCUUCCCAGGAAAUAA